rnacentral:rRNA from 1 species
CCCCGUACACAAAAGCGCAUGUGCUGUGAGCUCGAUGAGUAGGGCGGGACACGUGGUAUCCUGUCUGAAUAUGGGGGGACCAUCCUCCAAGGCUAAAUACUCCUGACUGACCGAUAGUGAACCAGUACCGUGAGGGAAAGGCGAAAAGAACCCCGGCGAGGGGAGUGAAAAAGAACCUGAAACCGUGUACGUACAAGCAGUGGGAGCACCCUUUGGGGUGUGACUGCGUACCUUUUGUAUAAUGGGUCAGCGACUUAUAUUCUGUAGCAAGGUUAACCGAAUAGGGGAGCCGGAGGGAAACCGAGUCUUAAUUGGGCGUUAAGUUGCAGGGUAUAGACCCGAAACCCGGUGAUCUAGCCAUGGGCAGGUUGAAGGUUGGGUAACACUAACUGGAGGACCGAACCGACUAAUGUUGAAAAAUUAGCGGAUGACCUGUGGCUGGGGGUGAAAGGCCAAUCAAACCGGGAGAUAGCUGGUUCUCCCCGAAAGCUAUUUAGGUAGCGCCUCGUGAAUUCAUCUCCGGGGGUAGAGCACUGUUUCGGCUAGGGGGCCAUCCCGGCUUACCAACCCGAUGCAAACUGCGAAUACCGGAGAAUGUUAUCACGGGAGACACACGGCGGGUGCUAACGUCCGUCGUGAAGAGGGAAACAACCCAGACCGCCAGCUAAGGUCCCAAAGUCAUGGUUAAGUGGGAAACGAUGUGGGAAGGCCCAGACAGCCAGGAUGUUGGCUUAGAAGCAGCCAUCAUUUAAAGAAAGCGUAAUAGCUCACUGGUCGAGUCGGCCUGCGCGGAAGAUGUAACGGGGCUAAACCAUGCACCGAAGCUGCGGCAGCGACGCUGAUGCGUUGUUGGGUAGGGGAGCGUUCUGUAAGCCUGCGAAGGUGGCCUGUGAGGGUUGCUGGAGGUAUCAGAAGUGCGAAUGCUGACAUAAGUAACGAUAAAGCGGGUGAAAAGCCCGCUCGCCGGAAGACCAAGGGUUCCUGUCCAACGUUAAUCGGGGCAGGGUGAGUCGACCCCUAAGGCGAGGCCGAAAGGCGUAGUCGAUGGGAAACGGGUUAAUAUUCCCGUACUUGGUGUUACUGCGAAGGGGGGACGGAGAAGGCUAUGUUGGCCGGGCGACGGUU